CAUCUGACAGACAAAAAGGUUUCAUCAAAGACACACAGACAGCUCCUGAAGUAAAGGACCUACACAGGACCUUCAUAUCAAGGACAUUGACUGUGUGGAUCUCGAGGUGCAGUUACCCAAAAGUUGCUACCCACGGAAUACCAGGUUUUGAGGGAUCCUGCCAGAGCAGAGAAUCAACAGAUACAUUGAAGAGGAGACUCCGACAUGACCGCCGGCAUCUUGUGUUAUUCACCCCCACCACUUGUAAUACUGAAUGCCUGAAUUGUUGUUUGUUGCUCAUUCUUUGUCAACAGAUAUGGUCUUCGACAUGUUACCCUUAGGUGUGGAAACAGAUUGUGACAGUCCAGCAAAAUGAGCCAGACAGAUAGUAACACUGAAAAAGGACAACAUUGUUCCCAUGGCCUCCCACUGCAGAAGACUACAGACGUUCA